rnacentral:rRNA from 1 species
AGAACGAACGCUGGCGGCAUGCCUAACACAUGCACGUCGAACGAUCUCUUCGGAGAUAGUGGCGCACGGGUGCGUAACGCGUGGGAAUCUGCCCUUGGGUUCGGAAUAACAGUUGGAAACGACUGCUAAUACCGGAUGAUGACGUUAAGUCCAAAGAUUUAUCGCCCAGGGAUGAGCCCGCGUAGGAUUAGCUAGUUGGUGAGGUAAAGGCUCACCAAGGCGACGAUCCUUAGCUGGUCUGAGAGGAUGAUCAGCCACACUGGGACUGAGACACGGCCCAGACUCCUACGGGAGGCAGCAGUGGGGAAUAUUGGACAAUGGGCGAAAGCCUGAUCCAGCAAUGCCGCGUGAGUGAUGAAGGCCUUAGGGUUGUAAAGUCUCGUUUUUACCCGGAUGAUAAUGACAGUACCGGAGAAGUAAGCUACCGGCUAACUCCGCGCCAGCACGCCGAC